AAAAAUGGUGGUUUAAUGGCGUUUACCGGAAAAUGGAAUUAAAAUUAAUUUCAUGGCCGAAAUCUGAAUAGCCAAGAGGCUGCAAUAUUUACUGACGGGUACUUCAAUUCAAAUACAAGACCUUAGCUUUGCUGGAUACAGAAUAGAGAAGACUUCACUGAAAAUAAAAUGCAGUAUGUAUAUUUUUUAUAUCGGCGUUUCGUAGCUUACUUUUUUUCUUUACUUCCAGUGUUUAAGCAAAUUACGGUUUAAUGGCGGCAAAUAAAAAUGGAAAACCUAAAAAUAAAGUCAAUUUUCUUAUAAUGAAUACCACGGAAAAGGCUGCGAUUAUACAGACGGUCAUAUCUAUACUUAUAAAAGAGAUGAACUAUGCAUUGUGCUGUGGAAAGAAAAAUCUUUGCCCUACGCUAACCGGAUUUGAAUUGCUAUUUGAAAAAGGUCCCCCAUCGAUUGACAUGCUAUGUGCGAAAUAUAUAUGGCUUAUACAUGGUGUUGAUGGAAACAAAUACGUUACUUAAAGAGGGAGCUACAACAGCAUGCGUGUGGAAACCGAUGUUUGCUUAUAAGGAAGGCGCUUCACAGCACACAACGCUUCUAAAGAAAGACGAAUUUUCAUCAUGGCAUUGUAACAGUGCUGUUGAAAAGAAGGCACUUAAAAAGGAAAGAGCUUUGUCCUAUCAUGUGGUGGAUCACAAGGAAAAUAUUCUACAUAUUGAAAGAAACUUAUCAUAAUGCUAGGGUGUGUAAAUGUUAGCUUGUGUAAAAAACCAAUAAUGGUAACUCCAUGAAUGUAUGAAAAUUUAACAAAUGUUACCAUAAGUUAGUAGUAUUGUAAGCUGUCGUGUGCAAUGUAUAAUUAAUGUUUCAAAGAUGUUAUUAGUUUAAGCAUAUGUUAAGCCACGAUUAUUGUAACACAAUGAGCUUGUACACAUAGUUAAGCUAGACAUAAGUAAUGUUCAGCCAAUUGCCAGACAAUGUUAAGAUAAUCAAUGAGGUAGAAAGGAAGAAAACGACUCAAAGAAGGAAAAGGAGCCCAAGAAGACUGCCAAGGAGUCCAAGAAAGAAACCCCCAAAGCCGCAGAGCAAAACAAAAACAAUGAUCAGUCCACGAUUGAUCUCUUUACAGCCAAGAAAGCGGACACCAGCAAGAAAGAGAAGCCAGAAGUUAAGACUGCGGAGAAAGGCAAGAAGAAAGAUCAAACCACAGACGAUCCCAAGCCAAAAGAAGCUCCCAAAAAGGAUACACCAAAAACCUUAGGGAAGCCAAAGAAGGAGGAAUCAGUAGAAAAGAGCAACAAAGAAGAAAAGUCCCAGAAAGAAAAAGAAGAAGACUCACCUGCCGCCAGUAAUCAAAAAUAAACAAGCAGGAAGAGUAAAGGCAAAAAACAGAAGGAGGAGGUCAACCAGAAGAAAGAAAACGACUCAAGGAAGGAAAAGGACCCCAAGAAGACUACCAAGAAGUACAAGAAAGAACCCCCUAAAUAUUGUUUAUUAAUACGCUUUUUUACAGGUUCAACAUUCGACGCAAGCGUUACAUAGGAAUUGGCGAUAACACAACAGACAAUCGGAUACAUGAGGUUGGCUAUAACAGAGGCUCUUUCCAGUAUACGGCCCUCUGUAGAGAAACUGACUCACAUUAUUGGCGUUGUUUAACAGAUAACAUGAAGAAGAGGACACUAACGGAUCGCUAACCAACACAUCAUAUGCUCCUAUAUAUUGGACUCCUUCAAGCGGACGACGAUUGAUGGUAUCAAUGUUGUUUGAUAGACGGCGCUGUAAAACUAAAGGCGCAUUACACGUCCGUCUCUAGGUUACAUACAUGAACAAAUAAGACAUACCAAAGACAAUUUGGAUUAUAUUAAGGAUAACGCAAAUGUUAUACCACACUAGUGAUGGUAGAACAAUAAUAAGAAAUGUUAAUACUUAAGAAUGUUAACCUAAGCAAAAAUUGUAAACAAAGCAAAGAUUGCACUAUAUAGAUACUGCACUCAGAGCUGUAAGAAUAUGUUAAAAGUAUCUUAAGUAGUCGUAAACAAUGUAUACACAAUGUUCCGAACGAUGUUAUUAGUUUAAGCAACUGUUAAGCCGUAUAUAAUGUAACACAAUGAGCUUGUACACAUAGUUAAGCUAGACAUAAGUAACGUUCAGCCAAUUGCCAGACAAUGUUAAGAUAAUCAAUGAGGUAGAAAGGAAGAAAACGACUCAAAGAAGGAAAAGGAGCCCAAGAAGACUGCCAAGGAGUCCAAGAAAGAAACCCCCAAAGCCGCAGAGCAAAACAAAAACAAUGAUCAGUCCACGAUUGAUCUCUUUACAGCCAAGAAAGCGGACACCAGCAAGAAAGAGAAGCCAGAAGUUAAGACUGCGGAGAAAGGCAAGAAGAAAGAUCAAACCACAGACGAUUCCAAGCCAAAAGAAGCUCCCAAAAAGGAUACACCAAAAACCUUAGGGAAGCCAAAGAAGGAGGAAUCAGUAGAAAAGAGCAACAAAGAAGAAAAGUCCCAGAAAGAAAAAGAAGAAGACUCACCUGCCGCCAGUAAUCAAAAAUAAACAAGCAGGAAGAGUAAAGGCAAAAAACAGAAGGAGGAGGUCAACCAGAAGGAAGAAAACGACCCAAGGAAGGAAAAGGACCCCAAGAAGACUACCAAGAAGUACAAGAAAGAACCCCCUAAAUAUUGUUUAUUAAUACGCUUUUUUACAGGUUCAACAUUCGACGCAAGCGUUACAUAGGAAUUGGCGAUAACACAACAGACAAUCGGAUACAUGAGGUUGGCUAUAACAGAGGCUCUUUCCAGUAUACGGCCCUCUGUAGAGAAACUGACUCACAUUAUUGGCGUUGUUUAACAGAUAACAUGAAGAAGAGGACACUAACGGAUCGCUAACCAACACAUCAUAUGCUCCUAUAUAUUGGACUCCUUCAAGCGGACGACGAUUGAUGGUAUCAAUGUUGUUUGAUAGACGGCGCUGUAAAACUAAAGGCGCAUUACACGUCCGUCUCUAGGUUACAUACAUGAACAAAUAAGACAUACCAAAGACAAUUUGGAUUAUAUUAAGGAUAACGCAAAUGUUAUACCACACUAGUGAUGGUAGAACAAUAAUAAGAAAUGUUAAUACUUAAGAAUGUUAACCUAAGCAAAAAUUGUAAACAAAGCAAAGAUUGCACUAUAUAGAUACUGCACUCAGAGCUGUAAGAAUAUGUUAAAAGUAUCUUAAGUAGUCGUAAACAAUGUAUACACAAUGUUCCGAACGAUGUUAUUAGUUUAAGCAACUGUUAAGCCGUAUAUAAUGUAACACAAUGAGCUUGUACACAUAGUUAAGCUAGACAUAAGUAACGUUCAGCCAAUUGCCAGACAAUGUUAAGAUAAUCAAUGAGGUAGAAAGGAAGAAAACGACUCAAAGAAGGAAAAGGAGCCCAAGAAGACUGCCAAGGAGUCCAAGAAAGAAACCCCCAAAG